rnacentral:tRNA from 1 species
GGAGGAGUGGCCGAGAGGCUGAAGGCAUCCCGCUCGAAACGGGAUAUCCUUAACGGGAUCGUGGGUUCAAAUCCUACCUCCUCCGCCA